AUUCUACGUCAUACUGACAUGUCGAGCCCCAGCUCCAUCCAGACAUCAGAACAACUUAUUUUGGUUUCAAUCGAUCACUGUUGGAUAACUUGUAUUAAACCAACAAAAAAAACAUGGCCUCAAGUUGUCGAAAACCAGAGCAUAUUGCCCCGCUUAAAAAAUGAUCCAGGGCCAGAUGUCCUAGAGGGCUGUGGAGCUGCUGAACUUGCUAGAUGGGACAGAUGUCCUAGAGGGCUGUGGAGCUGCUGAACCUGCCUGAGGACCAGCCCUGUAACCUGCUAGAUGGGUCAGAUGUCCUAGAGGGCUGUGGAGCUGCUGAACCUGCCUGAGGACCAGCCCUGUAUCCUGCUAGAUGGGCAUGAUGUCCUAGAGGGCUGUGGAGCUGCUGAACCUGCCUGAGGACCAGCCCUGUAUCCUGCUAGAUGUGGGGGGUUGGGGUCAGAGACGGUGGACAGGAGUGUCCCAAAUCAAGUCCAAUUCACAGGACGGAGGUCAGGCCAGGCACAUUUCCCUGCCCUGAUGAGGUUGAAGGACCCAGAUGGACAUAGAGGGCUGUCGUCCUGCCUGACUACAGUUACUUCCUGGCAGCUUUUCCUCCCUCUCACAAUCACAUGAUCAAGCAGAUGGUGAUUUGGGAAACUCACUGCUCAGCCUGUAGGGUCUCCACUUGCGCCUGCUGAAUGGCUAGCUUUAUUCGGUCAGCCGCUUCAGGUGGGUGGUCACGGGUGUUUGCAGUGUUUGCUAGGUUCCAGCCUUGGUAUGAGCCGAAUCAGGAGGAAGUGGUACUCGUUUAGCAAGCAGCGUGACGUCCUUUACAAUCUGUCACGAGACAUAGAGCAGAUUUGAAGUUAAAGUUGAGUAAAAACAACUACAGGUUUGAUUAGAGCUGCAGUGUCUCGAUCCCUUCCUGUGUCUGCUGUUGGUCAUUUCCUGUUUGUCUUCGUGAAGAUCUCGCUUUAAGAACAUGAAGGGCAAGUCUGCAAAGAAGGGAGAAGACUGGAUCCUGGAGGGGAGAAGAAGACAGGACGGGUAUGUACCCCUCUGUCUACACUGUCUCAUUGAGAAGACAGGACGGGUAUGUACCCCUCUGUCUACACUGUCUCAUUGAGAAGACAGGGCGGGUAUGUACCCCUCUGUCUACACUGUCUCAUUGAGAAGACAGGGCAGGUAUGUACCCCUCUGUCUACACUGUCUCAUUGAGAAGACAGGGCAGGUAUGUACCCCUCUGUCUACACUGUCUCAUUGAGAAGACAGGGCAGGUAUGUACCCCUCUGUCUACACUGUCUCAUUGAGAAGACAGGACGGGUAUGUACCCCUCUGUCUACACUGUCUCAUUGAGAAGACAGGGCAGGUAUGUACCCCUCUGUCUACACUGUCUCAUUGAGAAGACAGGGCAGGUAUGUACCCCUCUGUCUACACUGUCUCAUUGAGAAGACAGGGCAGGUAUGUACCCCUCUGUCUACACUGUCUCAUUGAGAAGACAGGGCAGGUAUGUACCCCUCUGUCUACACUGUCUCAUUGAGAAGACAGGGCAGGUAUGUACCCCUCUGUCUACACUGUCUCAUUGGGUGGUGAUCCUGUACAGGUUAACAUUAGUACCAUCAACUUAUUACCUUCAUAUAGCUUACAACCCCGUUUGGAUGAAGCCAGUAGGCUCUGUAACAGAAAGGCUGGUCUCUUACUGUCUGUGGUGUGUUCUGUCUCUCAGGGAGGUCCGAGCUGACACAACGUACACUGCCCUGCAGAGAAGGACUCACUUCUGAACCCCAGUCAGUCCUGUGUGUUCCGGGCCUGGAGAUUCACCCUUAUGGAAUACUACUGUCCUGUGGACAGAAUCUGGACAGAAACUGGCCCCUCUCGAGGACAUGGUCCCAAUCCUAUGGACAGAAACUGGCCCCUUUCUACGACAUGGUCCCAAUCCUCUGGACAGAAACUGGCCCCUCUUUAGGACAUGGUCCUAAUCCUCUGGACAUAAACGGACCCCUCUCUAGGACAUGGUCCCAAUCCUCUGGACAGAAACUGGCCCCUUUCUAGGACAUGGUCCCAAUUCUCUGGACAGAAACUGGCCCCUCUCUAGGACAUGGUACCAGUCCUCUGGACAGAAACUGGCCCCUCUCUAGGACAUGGUCCCAAUCCUCUGGACAGAAACUGGCCCCAUAUCAAUCCCGGUGAAUAUUCAUGUCAUGUAAUUUGGAGGCCAAUUGUCAACCCAGUGGAUAGUCAUGUAAUUUAGAGGCCAGUAGUUAUGUAAUUUAGAGGCCAGUAGUUAUGUAAUUUAGAGGCCAGUAGUUAUGUAAUUUAGAGGCCACUAGUCAUGUAAUUCAAGUCAAUAGUCAUCCCAGUGGUUAGUUAUAUAAUUUAGAGGACACUUGUCAUCCCAGUGGUUAGUUAUAUCAUUUAGAGGCCACUAGUCAUCCCGGUGGUUAGUUAUAUCAUUUAGAGGCCACUAGUCAUCCCAGUGGUUAGUUAUAUCAUUUAGAGGCCACUAGUCAUGUAAUUUAGAGGUCACUAGUCAUCCCAGUGGUUAGUUAUAUCAUUUAGAGGCCACUUGUCAUCCCAGUGGUUAGUUAUAUCAUUUAGAGGCCACUAGUCAUCCCAGUGGUUAGUUAUAUAAUUUAGAGGCCACUAGUCAUCCCAGUGGUUAGUUAUAUAAUUUAGAGGCCACUAGUCAUCCCAGCGGUUAGUUAUAUCAUUUAGAGGCCACUAGUCAUCCCAGUGGUUAGUUAUAUCAUUUAGAGGCCACUAGUCAUCCCAGUGGUUAGUUAUAUCAUUUAGAGGCCCCUUGUCAUCCCAGUGGUUAGUUAUAUAAUUUAGAGGCCACUAGUCAUCCCAGUGGUUAGUUAUAUCAUUUAGAGGCCACUAGUCAUCCCAGUGGUUAGUUAUAUAAUUUAGAGGCCACUAGUCAUCCCAGUGGUUAGUUAUAUCAUUUAGAGGCCACUAGUCAUCCCAGUGGUUAGUUAUAUCAUUUAGAGGCCUCUAGUCAUCCCAGUGGUUAGUUAUCAUUUAGAGGCCACUAGUCAUCCCAGUGGUUAGUUAUAUCAUUUAGAGGCCUCUAGUCAUCCCAGUGGUUAGUUAUCAUUUAGAGGCCACUAGUCAUCCCAGUGGUUAGUUAUAUCAUUUAGAGGCCUCUAGUCAUCCCAGUGGUUAGUUAUCAUUUAGAGGCCACUAGUCAUCCCAGUGGUUAGUUAUAUCAUUUAGAGGCCUCUAGUCAUCCCAGUGGUUAGUUAUAUCAUUUAGAGGCCACUAGUCAUGUAAUUUAGAGGUCACUAGUCAUCCCAGUGGUUAGUUAUAUAAUUUAGAGGCCACUAGUCAUCCCAGUGGUUAGUUAUAUCAUUUAGAGGCCACUAGUCAUGUAAUUUAGAGGUCACUAGUCAUCCCAGUGGUUAGUUAUAUCAUUUAGAGGCCACUUGUCAUCCCAGUGGUUAGUUAUAUCAUUUAGAGGCCACUAGUCAUCCCAGUGGUUAGUUAUAUAAUUUAGAGGCCACUAGUCAUCCCAGUGGUUAGUUAUAUCAUUUAGAGGCCACUAGUCAUCCCAGUGGUUAGUUAUAUCAUUUAGAGGCCACUAGUCAUCCCAGGCAUGUGGGCUACAUGUAAUUAUUUUGAGAUGUGUCGUAUUAUAUUGUCGAUAGUCUCGUUCAUCUGAAUGCAGUUAUUAAAUGAACAACGUGUCUUAUCUCUGUAAUAAUAAACAUGUUCUCUACACGUGA